GGAGUUGUCCAGCAUCGUCGCGGCCGCCGGUGGGGAGGCGCUCUUGGAGAGCUCCCUGCGCGC
rnacentral:SRP_RNA from 13 species